GAUGAAGAACGCAGCGAAAUGCGAUAAGUAAUGUGAAUUGCAGAAUUCAGUGAAUCAUCGAAUCUUUGAACGCACAUUGCGCCCCUUGGUAUUCCGAGGGGCAUGCCUGUUCGAGCGUCAUUAUAACCCCUCAAGCUCAGCUUGGUGUUGGGGCCUGCUGCACUGGCAGCCCUUAAAAUCAGUGGCGGCGCCAUCUGGCUCUAAGCGUAGUACUUCUUCUCGCUAUGGAGUCCUGGUGGAUGCUUGCCAUCAACCCCCAAUUUUUCUAUGGUUGACCUCGGAUCAGGUAGGGAUACCCGCUGAACUUAAGCAUAUCAAUAAGCGGAGGA
rnacentral:misc_RNA from 1 species